rnacentral:rRNA from 1 species
GACGAACGCUGGCGGCGUGCUUAACACAUGCAAGUCGAACGGAAAGGCCCUGCUUUUGUGGUGUGCUCGAGUUGCGAACGGGUGAGUAACACGUGAGUAACCUGCCCUUGACUUUGGGAUAACUUCAGGAAACUGGGGCUAAUACCGGAUAGGAGCUCCUGCUGCAUGGUGGGGGUUGGAAAGUUUCGGCGGUUGGGGAUGGACUCGCGGGUUAUCAGCUUGUUGGUGGGGUAGUGGCUUACCAAGGCUUUGACGGGUAGCCGGCCUGAGAGGGUGACCGGCCACAUUGGGACUGAGAUACGGCCCAGACUCCUACGGGAGGCAGCAGUGGGGAAUAUUGCACGAUGGGCGGAAGCAUGAUGCAGCAACGCCGCGUGCGGGAUGACGGCCUUCGGGUUGUAAACCGCUUUCGCCUGUGACGAAGCGUGAGUGACGGUAAUGGGUAAAGAAGCACCGGCUAACUACGUG